rnacentral:rRNA from 1 species
UACGUAGGGGGCAAGCGUUGUCCAGAAUCAUUGGGCGUAAAGCGCGUGUAGGCGGCUUGAUAAGUCUGCUCUGAAAGCCCGGGGCUCAACCCCGGGAGGCGGGUGGAUACUGUCAAGCUCGAGUACGGAAGAGGAGUGUGGAAUUCCUGGUGUAGCGGUGAAAUGCGCAGAUAUCAGGAGGAACACCGAUGGCGAAGGCAGUUCGCUGGGCCGUAACUGACGCUGAGGAGCGAAAGCGUGGGGAGCGAACAGG